GUUUAAAUAGUUUAAUAAAAAUAACGGUCUGUGAAUCCGUAGAUAUAAGUGUUUUAUUUUAGACC
rnacentral:tRNA from 1 species